rnacentral:rRNA from 1 species
UGGGGAAUAUUGGACAAUGGGGGCAACCCUGAUCCAGCCAUGCCGCGUGAGUGACGACGGCCUUCGGGUUGUAAAGCUCUUUCGCCAGGGACGAUAAUGACGGUACCUGGAGAAGAAGCCCCGGCUAACUUCGUGCCAGCAGCCGCGGUAAUACGAAGGGGGCUAGCGUUGUUCGGAAUCACUGGGCGUAAAGCGCACGUAGGCGGACCGUUAAGUCGGAGGUGAAAGCCUGGGGCUCAACCCCAGAACUGCCUUCGAUACUGACGGCCUUGAGUGUGGGAGAGGUUGGUGGAACUCCGAGUGUAGAGGUGAAAUUCGUAGAUAUUCGGAAGAACACCAGUGGCGAAGGCGGCCAACUGGCCCAUUACUGACGCUGAGGUGCGAAAGCGUGGGGAGCAAA